rnacentral:rRNA from 1 species
UACGGAGGGUGCAAGCGUUAUCCGGAUUCACUGGGUUUAAAGGGUGCGUAGGCGGGCAGGUAAGUCAGUGGUGAAAUCUCCGAGCUUAACUCGGAACUGCCGUUGAUACUAUUUGUCUUGAAUAUUGUGGAGGUAAGCGGAAUAUGUCAUGUAGCGGUGAAAUGCUUAGAUAUGACAUAGAACACCAAUUGCGAAGGCAGCUUACUACACAACGAUUGACGCUGAGGCACGAAAGCCGUGGGGGAUCAAACAGG